rnacentral:rRNA from 1 species
AUUGAACGCUGGCGGCAUGCCUUACACAUGCAAGUCGAACGGCAGCACGGGUGCUUGCACCUGGUGGCGAGUGGCGAACGGGUGAGUAAUACAUCGGAACAUGUCCUGUAUUGGGGGAUAGCCCGGCGAAAGCCGGAUUAAUACCGCAUACGAUCUACGGAUGAAAGCGGGGUACCUUCGGGCCUCGCGCUAUAGGGUUGGCCGAUGGCUGAUUAGCUAGUUGGUGGGGUAAAGGCCUACCAAGGCGACGAUCAGUAGCUGGUCUGAGAGGACGACCAGCCACACUGGGACUGAGACACGGCCCAGACUCCUACGGGAGGCAGCAGUGGGGAAUUUUGGACAAUGGGCGAAAGCCUGAUCCAGCAAUGCCGCGUGUGUGAAGAAGGCCUUCGGGUUGUAAAGCACUUUUGUCCGGAAAGAAAUCCUUGGCCCUAAUACGGUCGGGGGAUGACGGUACCGGAAGAAUAAGCACCGGCUAACUACGUG